rnacentral:rRNA from 1 species
AUUGAACGCAGGCGGCAGGCUUAACACAUGCAAGUCGAACGAGUGGCGGACGGGUGAGUAAUGCUUGGGAAUCUAGCUUAUGGAGGGGGAUAACUACGGGAAACUGUAGCUAAUACCGCGUACCCUAGGCUGAGCCCAAGUGGGAUUAGGUAGUUGGUGAGGUAAAGGCUCACACAGCCGACGAUCUCUAGCUGGUCUGAGAGGAUGACCAGCCACACUUGGACUGAGACACGGCCCAGACUCCUACGGGAGGCAGCAGUGGGGAAUAUUGCGCAAUGGGGGCAACCCUGACGCAGCCAUGCCGCGUGAAUGAAGAAGGCCUUCGGGUUGUAAAGUACUUUCAGUCGGGAGGCGUUACCGACAGAAGAAGCACCGGCUAACUCCGUGCCAGCAGCCGCGGUAAUUC